UAGGGAAUCUUCGGCAAUGGGGGGAACCCUGACCGAGCAACGCCGCGUGAGUGAAGAAGGUUUUCGGAUCGUAAAGCUCUGUUGUUAAGGAAGAACGAGUGUGAGAAUGGAAAGUUCAUACUGUGACGGUACUUAGCCAGAAAGGGACGGCUAACUACGUGCCAGCAGCCGCGGUAAUACGUAGGUCCCGAGCGUUGUCCGGAUUUAUUGGGCGUAAAGCGAGCGCAGGUGGUUAGAUAAGUCUGAAGUUAAAGGCAGUGGCUCAACCAUUGUAGGCUUUGGAAACUGUUUAACUUGAGUGCAGAAGGGGAGAGUGGAAUUCCAUGUGUAGCGGUGAAAUGCGUAGAUAUAUGGAGGAACACCGGUGGCGAAAGCGGCUCUCUGGUCUGUAACUGACGCUGAGGCUCGAAAGCGUGGGGAGCGAACAGGAUUAGAUACCCUGGUAGUCCACGCCGUAAACGAUGAGUGCUAGGUGUUAGGUCCUUUCCGGGACUUAGUGCCGCAGCUAACGCAUUAAGCACUCCGCCUGGGGAGUACGACCGCAAGGUUG
rnacentral:rRNA from 1 species